GCGGCGGACGGGUGAGUAACACGUGGGCAACCUACCUUGUAGAUUGGGAUAACUCCGGGAAACCGGGGCUAAUACCAAAUAAUCCAUUUUGCUUCAUGGCGAAAUGUUGAAAGGCGGCUUCGGCUGUCACUACGAGAUGGGCCCGCGGCGUAUUAGCUAGUUGGUAGGGUAAUGGCCUACCAAGGCGACGAUACGUAGCCGACCUGAGAGGGUGAUCGGCCACACUGGGACUGAGACACGGCCCAGACUCCUACGGGAGGCAGCAGUAGGGAAUCUUCCACAAUGGACGAAAGUCUGAUGGAGCAACGCCGCGUGAGUGAAGAAGGUUUUCGGAUCGUAAAACUCUGUUGUAAGGGAAGAACACGUACGAGAGUAACUGCUCGUACCUUGACGGUACCUUAUUAGAAAGCCACGGCUAACUACGUGCCAGCAGCCGCGGUAAUACGUAGGUGGCAAGCGUUGUCCGGAAUUAUUGGGCGUAAAGCGCGCGCAGGCGGUCCUUUAAGUCCGAUGUGAAAGCCCACGGCUCAACCGUGGAGGGUCAUUGGAAACUGGGGGACUUGAGUACAGAAGAGGAAAGCGGAAUUCCACGUGUAGCGGUGAAAU
rnacentral:rRNA from 1 species